UACGGAGGGGGCAAGCGUUGUUCGGAAUUACUGGGCGUAAAGGGCGCGCAGGCGGCUGCUCAAGUCAGGCGUGAAAGGCCUGGGCUCAACCCGGGAAUUGCGCUUGAGACUGGGCUGGCUUGAGUGCGGGAGAGGAUGGUGGAAUUCCCAGUGUAGAGGUGAAAUUCGUAGAUAUUGGGAAGAACACCAGUGGCGAAGGCGGCUCACUGGCCCGGUACUGACGCUGAGGCGCGAAAGCGUGGGGAGCAAACAGG
rnacentral:rRNA from 1 species